UGAUUUAGAAGAGAUUUGAGUAUGAAAUGAGAUUAGGAGUCUAGCAUAGAACCAUUGAGAGAAUAAAGACUAAGAGAGACUCAUAACUUGCUUGCCUUGAUUAAUGACAUGAGUUUACAAUAUAUAGAGAGGCGACAUUAGAGACUAGGGUUUAGGAAACUACACUAUUACAAGAGAUAAGCUUUUGCUUUAAUUCAAAUGAUCCAAUAAGCUUCCUCCUUAAGGAUAAGGUUCCUUUUGCUUUAUGCCAACCGUGGACAGGCUGUCAUGUGCGCUCCCUUCUUCCUUUUGCAACAAUCUGAUCAGAUAAGGAUAAGCAAGGCUUCUACUCAACACACAAAGUUACCUAAGUAACUUUGGUUCACCGAGGUUAAGUUACCUUGCCCAAUCUGUACGACCUAGUACGGCUUCUGUACGGCCUUGCCCAAUCCUCUCCUAACUCCAUCUCCCUUAGUUUCUCAAGUCAUCUCUUCUCAUA
rnacentral:lncRNA from 1 species